GAUGAACGCUAGCGGGAGGCUUAACACAUGCAAGUCGAGGGGCAUCACGAGGUAGCAAUACUUUGGUGGCGACCGGCGCACGGGUGAGUAACGCGUAUGCAACCUACCCUGUACAGUGGGAUAACCCGGAGAAAUUCGGACUAAUACCGCAUAAAGAUAUUUUGAGGCAUCUUAAGAUAUUUAAAGCUUAGGUGGUACGGGAUGGGCAUGCGUAACAUUAGCUGGUUGGUAGGGUAACGGCCUACCAAGGCGAUGAUGUUUAGGGGACCUGAGAGGGUGAUCCCCCACACUGGUACUGAGACACGGACCAGACUCCUACGGGAGGCAGCAGUGAGGAAUAUUGGUCAAUGGGCGGAAGCCUGAACCAGCCAUCCCGCGUGCAGGAAGACAGCCCUAUGGGUUGUAAACUGCUUUUCCAGUGGGCGAAACACUCGUACGUGUACGAGAUUGACGGUACACUGGGAAUAAGCAUCGGCUAACUCCGUGCCAGCAGCCGCGGUAAAAGUCACG
rnacentral:rRNA from 1 species